rnacentral:rRNA from 1 species
GGGAUGACACAGUAGGAUAAGCUAAGCACACUGUUGGUUAUGUGUGCCCAAGCAUUGAGGCAGUCAAAGUAGGCAAAUCCGCUUUGAUAAUGCUGGGAUGUGAUGGGGAGCGAAAUUUAGUAGCGAAGUAGCUGAUUUCACACUGUCAAGAAAAGUCUCUAUCGAGGUUAAAGGUACCCGUACCGCAAACCGACACAGGUGGGUGAGGAGAGUAUCCUAAGGCCAGCGAGAGAACUGUUGUUAAGGAACUCGGCAAAAUGACCCCGUAACUUAGGGAUAAGGGGUGCCACCAUCAGGUGG